GGAGGUUGGAGGUGUUUGGUUUUGGUUUUGAGUCAAGGUUUCUCUGUGUUGUCCAGGCUGGUCCCAAACUCCUGGGCUCAAGUCAUUCUUUUGGCCCAGCCUCCUGAGCACUAAGCAGGCUGGAGGUCUCAUCACUGCUUAUUACACUUGUUUGGUGCUAUCCUGCCCCCAACUCCCUGGUCUUUGUGAGUUUGAACUUUUUUUUUUUUCAGAGUUUCUGCAGAAUUAACCUCCUAUCUUGCAUUUAAGCUGAGAGAGCUGUCUGCUGUCUCCAAUUCCUGCUGCUUUUCAGGUUCUCUGCCCCACAUGUCCCCGCAUUGGUUCACCAAAUUCAUCCUCCUAUGCCUGGAUUUUAGCAGCUUUGUUGUUGUUGCUCAUUACUUUGAUACUGUGACUCUGCUUGGGUCCAAUAUGCUUUUCAGUUAACUCCAUACAACCUACUCCUACCCUGAUGCCUUUUUUGAAGGCUGAUCACCCCAUCCAGAAGGUCAUCUCUUGACUCAUCUCUAUUUUUCCUGCCUUAAAUGUCUGCCAAAACUUUUUCCCUUCCCAGAAGCCUUUCUGACUAGAUCCCUCCACUCUUCUAAUUUUAGUCAGAGGGCCCUUAACACAGUUCAGUGAACACACUGCACUUCUGCUUUUCUAUCUUUGUACACAUUUUUCUUCCCCCUGUUCAAUGCCCUUUCUGUCCAACUCCCAUUCUGUGUGAUGUGGCUCAGACAUCACCUCCUCCAAGAAGCCUUCCCUGACCCUGCUGGUCUGGGCUGUGCUCCCUGAUACCUCCCUUAACAUCCUGGACUCUUCACUAUUACAGUACUUACUGCAGUCUGUAAUGGUAUGUGUGAUUAUAUUAAUUCAAAUAGAAACCCAUUAUAGAAUCAGAACUAUCUGUACCUAUUUUAUUUAAUCUCACAUCCAUUGGGUGUAUAUAGCACAGUGCCUCAAAUAUAGUAGUUAUGAAGCAAAUGCUUCUUUCAUUUAAUUGCUGUAACAAAAAUAGAAAAGGACAGGAAAUAAAGUUAACUUACCUAGGAGGAAUCCCUAAAGU
rnacentral:lncRNA from 1 species